GCAGGCUACUUCUUCUGGCUGCAGUUUGGCAGUUUAUUUCUCAUCGGCUCAAGGGUGACUCAGCCUUCGAUCCUUCCGAGGUAAUUCAAGGGACCAAAGUUUAUGAGCCUUGAGUGGUUCAGCUUUAUCUAGAAUUGUUAUGGUUCAUCAGUGUGCCAUAGAAAGCAAGAAAAAGAAAUUCUCAAUUCCGGGCUUCUGAGCGUCUCCUACGUCUCUCUUGUGUAAUGCAUGGACUUUUUGUGGAUAAACUACUUCAUAAUCCUUAACUUUCCAGGAGUCCUUCGCAGAGCUCGCUUCACAAAGAAAAAGGGAAAAAAAGUUCACUUUGACAGCAGGCUGCCAAAAAAGAGGAUGGAUGGCUUUUUGUCAGAGAUCUGAUCUCUGCCAAAAGGCUUCUGAAAUUAAUACGCAUAUGGCUGAAGAGCUACAUUCAUCUGGAAUCAUCCCUUCAACAAGGCCUGUUUCACAAGGGUUGUUCUUUUCACACAGAUCACGAGGAAACAUGCC